UGAGGAAUAUUGGGCAAUGCCCGAAAGGGUGACCCAGCAACGCCGCGUGGAGGAUGAAGGUCGUAAGAUUGUAAACUCCUGUUAGAGGGGAAGAAUAACUAAGUUUGGAGCUUAGUAUGACUGUACCCUCAGAGAAAGCCCCGGCUAACUACGUGCCAGCAGCCGCGGUAAUACGUAGGGGGCAAGCGUUGUCCGGAUUUACUGGGUGUAAAGGGCGCGCAGGCGGAAUGGAAAGUCAGUGGUGAAAUCCUACAGCUUAACUGUAGAACUGCCUUUGAUACUUUCAGUCUUGAGUUCGGGAGAGAGAGGCGGAAUUCCAGGUGUAGUGGUGAAAUACGUAGAUAUCUGGAAGAACACCAGUUGCGAAGGCGGUCUCUUGGUCCGAUACUGACGCUGAGGCGCGAAAGCGUGG
rnacentral:rRNA from 1 species